rnacentral:rRNA from 1 species
GACGUAGGGUGCGAGCGUUGUCCGGAAUUAUUGGGCGUAAAGAGCGUGUAGGCGGCCUGAAAGGUCAGCUGUGAAAACUCGAGGCUCAACCUCGAGACGUCGGUUGAAACCAUCUGGCUAGAGUCCGGAAGAGGAGAGUGGAAUUCCCGGUGUAGCGGUGAAAUGCGCAGAUAUCAGGAGGAACACCAAUAGCGAAGGCAGCUCGCUGGGACGUUACUGACACUGAGGCGCGAAAGCGUGGGGAGCGAACAGG